CCACCAGUGAAUCCCGGUAACGAGGUUGUCUUACUUGUCAUAAAAAACCCUGUGAUUAACUGUAAAACAAUAACAAGAAGCUUGGCGUAAGGCUGGCAAACAAAAUAGCAAUUCUGUUACAAGAAAGUUCUAAUUUAUAAAUAACUAUAGACACAACAUAGAUGAAAUUAUGGCUGCUACUGCUCAGAAACCUUUAACUUUAUCUUCCGACAUUGAAAGAGCAAUCCAACUUCUUGACGAGCUGAGUGAAAGAAACGAUUUACCUGUUCAGAAAUUUCAAAAUCUUAAAGAGGUUUUGGAAAGUAAUUUUUGUCAAAGUGUGAAAGAAGUUUAUGAGCAAGUAUAUGACACCGUAGACUUUGAUACUAACGAUGAAGUUCGAGCAAAUGCUACAGCAAAGGCCACUGUAGCAGCUUUUGCAGCAAGCGAGGGUCAUGCCCAUCCACGCAUAGUCGAGCUGCCGAAAACUGAGGAAGGACUUGGCUUCAAUGUUAUGGGUGGUCGUGAGCAAAGCUCACCAAUAUACAUUUCAAGAAUUAUACCAAAAGGCGUGGCUGAAUUACAUGGUGGUUUGAAGAGAGGUGAUCAACUGCUGGCAGUUAAUGGCGUCAGUGUCGAAGGGGAAAACCACGAACGAGCUGUCGAUCUACUAAAAGCUGCACGAGGCACCGUCAAAUUAGUCGUUAAGUACACUCCACAAGUUCUCGAUGAGAUGGAAAAAAGAUUCGAACGUCAAAGGACGGCGAAGAAAUAGUGUAGCUUAAUGUAAGAAUACACUUUUUACACCUGGCAGAAUUCACGCGCUGUUCGCACAACGGAGGAGAGUCUUCGCGCUCACUGACAUUUAAAUGAAAUGUACAUAGAUACAACGCGAAUUAUUUGGUAUUUUUAAUGAGCACCAAACUUAACUCCCAUGCCAAUUAAGCACCUACUAUUGAAUCAUCGAUUUAAACCAUCCAUUUGCGCUUAAUCUGUCAUUUGCAAUAUUUCUCGAUUAUUUAUCUCGAAGAUAUAUCUUAAUUAUAUGUCUCGAUUAUAUGUCUCGAUUAUAUGUCUCGAUUAUUUGUCUCGAUUAUAUAGCACAUGCAGCUAUUACUCAAACACCAUGAAAAAGCUGAAAAUAAUUGUCCAAAAAGUUGUUUUUUGUUGCCCAAGUGAUUUUUUCCACCGAAUUUACAACAAAUUUCUGAAUUAAUUACACGUGGAUCACAGCAAAUGUACAUGUGCCACUCACUCUAGCUUCCAGACCCAAACAAGCUUGAAGAUAGGGAUUUCAAAAAUAAAUUUGAUUGUAUUUUCUUUUUGGGUGGUAUUACGACUUUAAUUUAACUGCGCUCUUGUUGCUAUAGCGACGUUUUAGCGAACAACCCUAAAAUUAUUUCCCGCAUUGUCCAUCCUUUUUAAUUAGCGAAAUAAAACCUAGAACCCUCCCAGAGGUCGGAUCUUUAGUUUUUUAUGUCAUCAAACGGAAGUAAGCGAUGCUUGUCGUUUGCAUAUAACUAGAAUGAGAGACGUAGAUACAUUUUUUUUUGUUAACAAAGUUUAUGUUUAAGAGAGGAUCAGACUGAAACAUUUGUUAUAUGGAUAAUUGGUGUUUAUUAUUGCAGGGAACUACUAGUAGAAAUUUUUCGCCAAUAAAUCAUUGACUGGUUGUUUUAGUUGUGUGUUUUUAUAUCAAUUUGUAACUGUGGCUGGUCAUAUUUUUAACUAGGUCUCCAUGUCAAGUGAAAUUUAAUUUAAUGCGCUAGAAAAACUAGGCGAAUGUCUUUGCGGAGGGAUUUUUUUAUGUUGCGGCUAUGCUCACCUGUUAUAUAUAUAACAAAAAUUCGUUGAUUUGUAGCAAGUGCUACAAAUGCGGUGUUACUCGCUACAAAUUCGGAAUUCGUUAGCCGGCAUUUUGAAAUGGAUAAACUAUUUGACGACGUGCUGCAUAAAUACUUAUAAAUUUGUUCAAAUUAGGUGGAUAGAAAAAUUGAUUAUAGUAAACCACUCAGAUGACAAGUUGUAAUUUUGAUAAUCAACGGAUAAUUUGUCACAACUUUGAACUGCCGAUAGAAACGUUGAGUAUGUCAGCGAUGGCUAAAGUUAUUUAAUCUUUUGCAUCUGAUCAAAAACGCCGUACAAAGGCGUGAAAAUGUCGGUAGCAAACACUGAAAUAUUGUGAUUGGCUACUUAUUAAAUUUUAUCAGUUCCACAACUACACCUUCUGGUUUAAGCCUGAUGAAAAAUUCUGUUUUGGUUGCUUUAGAGUCAAUGAAGUUUUCACUGCCGCCUAGGGAGCUAGGAGCGGUAAACCCCUAAAUUUUUGGUGAUCAUGGAAUAUGAAAGAGACUUCUGUAAAAAGAAUUCGUUUUUUCCCAGUCUGGGACGUUAAAAUAUGACCCCCCGUAAAUUUUAGGAGUCAGAUACAGACUUAUAUACAGCUAUUUUAGAAGAACACAUAGUGAUAACAAACCUCAUCCAGGCUCCUAAUAAUACGUAAGAAUAACUUUUAAUAAAAAAACAACAUUUUUUGACGGCAUGAUUUUCAUUAUUUUUGAAUCACUUUUUUGACUAGUGCAUUCUUUCUAGUUUCGUCUCAUUUGACUUCAUUUUAUCUAUGACGGUGAUAAUGAUGCCCCCAAAAUAGGACUUUCUGAGGACCAAUCAAAUUAUGGACUUGUGCACUAGCUAUAUGCUAUAUUCUAAACGACAAAACUUUUCUAAAUCUGACUCCUUAUAAACUUUUUAGUAGAUCUCGCUACUUCUGUUUUUUACUUUUUUUUAUAUUUAUUGACAAAAGGAUAUACAUGAUAGUUCUCCGAUUACUAGCAAGCAAACGAAAUGGGAUUAAAAGAAAUCAAUUAUAGAAUUAAAAACCCGUCUGCAGGAUUCGACGUGUUAGCGAUGUUUAUUUUAUACUUUGUGACAAAUAUUUGGCGAACAGAGGAAAAAAUGAGAUGAGACGCAAAUAUUCUAAAUAUUUUUUUUACAUAAAAGGGAUUACAUCUUUUACUAAAACUGUCAUUCUGCUAUGAACUUUGCAAAAGUGCACCCUCACCAUUCACCACCUCCGCCCCUGCCCUUAUUUCACUCUCCGCCCCCUGAGUACUACUUUUACUGUUCUCGAAUAAAUAUCUCUUUGGUUAUAUAGUAAGUUAUAGAAUCAGCUUUCAUUCAGGGUGGCACUUUCUUAUACUUCAAUAACGUUCUUUUUAGCACUUGGGUAGAGGGCGUUAUUAGAGUAUAUUCCAUAUUCCUAAAACCCUUUCUCCAAAUUAGCUUUAUCUUGGCUGUUUUUGGAACAUGAGUAAUGUGUGAUUAUUUUUCACUGAACCUAAAGCUUGUUUUUUCCGACGAAUAGAAAUGAAAUAUUUUAAAGCUCUUAAGUUGGGAGAAAGCCUUUAAACCGAUUUUUUAUUAAUUACGUAUUCUCAUAAGCUGUAUAAAUUUUGUUUUUUUUAUAAUUGUUCGUAAUUGGGAAAUCUUGCAGCUUUAGAAGAAAAGAAGCUGAGUUGUUGUGUUUGUAAAAUGAAAUGAUUUUGAAUUAUGUGUAGUAUGAGCGAAAAUAUAUUAAGAUAUUUUUUACUUAAUAUCAGAAACGCAAAGAGAAUUGUCGCCAGUUUAUUGUUUUUAAACUGUGAAUAUUUUUUGCGCUGUGGACAUCUUAAUGACAACAUUGAGUGGUUGUUAUAAGGAAGAAAAGAAAAGUUUUUAUAAUUGUAAAAAUAUUUAGCGAAGGUUUUUUUUGUGAUAAAUUAUGUUCUUUUUAUGUACAUAUAUGAUGGUGUACGUACAGGAGAAGCGCCUGUCACGUUUCAAUUAUGAUUGUGGAGACAAUAAUUAGUUUUUCUUGAUAGCUAUUGAUGGUUUUCUCUUUUUAGAACGUUUUUUGACGCUUCAUGCAUUUUUUUAAUUUGCCAGACAAGUGUGAUACCUUUGACAUUGACAGAGGAUGUUAUGAGCUUUAAAGAGAAAAUGUUUUUUUUUAACAUAUCCUCUUGGGAGGUAGUAUUUAUAUUUAGAUGUUGUACUGGAUGUAAAAGUUUGGAGUGAUGGCAGUUAGUUUAUUAUAUGGUUUAUGGAGGUUUUUAAAACACUAUAUUAUGUGGAAAUCUCUACUUGACUUUUCUUUCACGAUUUCAACUUUCUCGAAGUGUUUUUUUCUUCUAUCAUUCACGGCACUUUCAUUUCUUCGUAUUUCUUCUUAUUUUUGUCUAAAAAUUUAAUUACUUCGUGUGUUUGAAGAUAAGUGAUGUGAAGUAAUCUGGCACGCGAAAGAAACUUUUUUCUUGUUGAAAACUUCUAGAUUUUAAGAUUUGAAUAUUUUUAAGUCGUAUAAGAUGCAAUCGGCGAUAAAAAAAAUUGAAGAUUUUAAAAAUCUGAGAAGUCGUCAUUUGUGUAAGGGGAAAUAGUAACUUUAUCAAGAAAAUUAUGAUAGCGAGAUGUUCAAGAUACCAAGAGUAUUUUGGUCUAUGGUUUCUAAUAAUGAAUACAGGCUCUUCUAAUAAUAUGAGUAAUUCUUUAAAAGUAUACGGUUUCCAAGGCGACAUCUGAAUUCUUUUAACGUGAUGUUUACAUAGACAAAACUUUUCAGAUAUCAUGUGAUCAAAUAUGAUUACGUCAUCAUUAACUGACAAGUUUCGUGAGGAUUGAAACUUUUUGUUUUAUCAUUUGUUUGUUUGUUUGUUUAUAAGGCGAGAGAUAGGAAUUACACAUUUCAUAUUUUACAUAAUUCCAUAAAAAGAUUCCUUCCGCAAAUUUCCUCUUUCUUAAAAUACCUACACACUUCCUAAUGUGUGAAAAACAAUGUAAAAUUAUUUCCUUUGCAAUACCGAGUCCAUAUGUGGUGUAUCAGGUGAUAACCUCGUUUGCAUGUAGCCUCAUUUUAUACGGAACUAACUUAGCUGUUGCUAUAAGGCUGAUUAAUUAUUAUUGGUUUCUUUUAUAAGUUUUUUUAUUAAUUUUUAUGUAGUUUCCGAUAAAUCAUAACAAAAAGUUCAGAUCAAUCUUUGCGGUUUAUUAGAACAGGUAGUACUGGAGCCCUUUUUUAAUUUUACUGUUUCGUCUCGAUAUCCCAUUCUGAGAAUUAACUUUAAAACUGGGUAAACAAAGACUUUUGUUUUUCUUGACAUUAAAAAGUUGUCAUCAAAAAUGAAAAUUCUGUCAAAUACGCGUCGUCCAAGUUUUUCUUAUCUUCGCUUGAAAACAAUUUUAUCUUGAACUUGCACUUGAGUUAUCUCGGUAGACGACAAAGGUCUCCGCUAGCUAUUAUCUAAAUUGCAUCUUUGAAACGAUCUAUCAUUACCCAUAUCCGCUCUAGUAAUUUUGUCUAGCGAUAUUAAUCAAUUGACCGAUAUUGAUAAAAGUAAACAUUUUAAUUCGAUAAAUCACGUUUUUUCUUGCAUGUAUACAGAAAGAUGGAAUGAAACAGAAGGGCAGUCAUUUUUUUGUUUCGUUUUAUUGUAUUACUGUGAAUUAGUCAAAUCAAAUUAUUCGCAUGAAAAAAUUUGUACUUAUUUAUGCUAGGACCUAAUUUAUAUGAACAAGAAAAAAGGGAAUUUUCUUUCAA